CCUACGGGUGGCAGCAGUGGGGGAUAUUGCACAAUGGGGGGAACACUGAUGCAGCGACGCCGCGUGGGUGAAGGAGUGCUUCGGCAUGUAAAGCCCUAUCGGCAGGGAAGAAGCAAGACGGUACCUGACUAAGAAGCCCCGGCUAACUACGUUCCAGCAGCCGCGGUAAUACGGCGGGGGCGAGCGUUAUCCGGAUUCGCUGGGUGUAAAGGGAGCGUAGACUGCCAUGCAAGCCAGGGGUGAAAGCCCGGGGCCCAACCCCGGGACUGCCCGUGGACAUGUGCGGCUAGAGUGCGGGAGGGGCAGGCGGAAUGCCUGGGGUAGCGGUGAAAUGCGUAGAUAUCAGGAGGAACACCGGCGGCGAAGGCGGCCUGCUGGACCGCGACUGACGUUGAGGCUCGAAAGCGUGGGGAGCGAACAGGAUUAGAUACCCUGGUAGUC
rnacentral:rRNA from 1 species